GAUGAACGCUGGCGGCGUGCCUAAUACAUGCAAGUCGAGCGAACGGACGAGAAGCUUGCUUCUCUGAUGUUAGCGGCGGACGGGUGAGUAACACGUGGAUAACCUACCUAUAAGACUGGGAUAACUUCGGGAAACCGGAGCUAAUACCGGAUGAUAUUUUGAACCGCAUGGUUCAAAAGUGAAAGACGGUCUUGCUGUCACUUAUAGAUGGAUCCGCGCUGCAUUAGCUAGUUGGUAAGGUAACGGCUUACCAAGGCAACGAUGCAUAGCCGACCUGAGAGGGUGAUCGGACACACGGGAACUGAGAAACGGUCGAGACUCCGACGGGAGGCAGCAGUAGGGAAUCUUACGCAAUGGGCGAAAGCCUGACGGAGGAACGCCGCGGGAGGGAUGAAGGUCUUCGGAUCGUAAAACUCUGUUAUUAGGGAAGAACAUAUGUGUAAGUAACUGGGCACAUCUUGACGGUACCUAAUCAGAAAGCCACGGCUAACUACGUG
rnacentral:rRNA from 1 species